CAAUCUGAAAUUCUUUAAAGGUUAUGCAAAAGCCGGCGAAAAUGACUUUUGAAAAAAAGACCUCAUUAUUUCACAUUUCUUAAAAAAAAAAAAAAAAAAAAAAAAGAGGUGGGGGUCAAAAGGAAAUCAUGUAGAAUGAUGUGAAAGGAGCUGCUGGGACAUCAGUGUUUGGCAAACUUUUGUUUCUCCUCUAGUAUGUAAAUUAGAGCUCAGACGGAGCGCUCCUAUUGGCUCUGAACCCAGAGUCCAUUUCCUCUUUCAGAUGUGACGUCAGUGCGGCUAUAAAACUCAGCAAUGCUUUUAUACUCGUCUGCUGGGCGAUCCUUUAAAAAACUACAACGAGCCCGCAGUUCUCUUUUUUUUCUCCUCGGCAAAGCAACAAUUUACCAGUCACAUGCACAUUUAACCUCCUCAGUUUUACGCAAUUGUAGAAAGCCAUGAAGUGUUAAAUAUUUCCAAUUCAGUCGCACCGACAUUCGCACCCGCAGAGAGAGACAGAGGAACAGGAGAAACGCGCGCGCUGCUCUCACGCGUCCGUGAGAGGCGGAAAAAAAAAAAAAAACACCAAACCCAGCACAGGCUAUUAAUUUAUAAAAUAAAUCCUCGCCGCACAGUCGACAGCCUUUUUUUUCUUCUUCUUCACGGUUCUGAAGAAUUAAAUAAAGAAAUCAAGCUGGCUCACGCCGUCUCGAACCCGACUAGUUUGACAGCUGCUCUUCACCCCCUUUGGAGGACUGUCAACAGCAAAAGGAUGGCAUCAGAACUGGCAAUGAGCAACUCCGACCUGCCCACCAGUCCCCUGGCCAUGGAAUAUGUUAAUGACUUCGAUCUGAUGAAGUUUGAAGUGAAAAAGGAGCCGGUGGAGCCCGACCGCAGCAUCAGCCAGUGCAGCCGCCCAGUCGCCGGCGGAUCCGUGUCUUCCACCCCGAUGAGCACGCCUUGCAGCUCGGUUCCUCCUUCGCCAAGCUUCUCGGCGCCCAGUCCGGGCUCGGGGAGCGAGCAGAAGGCGCACCUGGAGGACUUCUACUGGAUGAGCGGCUACCAGCAGCAGCUGAACCCGGAGGCGCUGGGCUUCAGCCCGGAGGAUGCGGUGGAGGCGCUGAUCAGCAGCGGCCACCAGCUCCCCAGCUUCGACGGCUACACCCGGGGCCAGCAGUUUGGCGGGGCAGCGGGCGCAGGAGGCACCGUGGCCGGGGAGGAGAUGGGCUCCGCGGCCGCCGUGGUCUCGGCCGUGAUCGCGGCGGCGGCAGCGCAGAACGGCAACCCGCACCUUCACCACCACCACCAUCACCACCACCACCACGCCACGGCGCACCACGGAGCGCCCGGAGCGCCCGCCAACGGCAACGCAGCGGGGAGCCACCAGCACACGCGCCUCGACGAUCGCUUCUCCGACGAGCAGCUCGUCACCAUGUCGGUGCGGGAGCUCAACCGGCAGCUGCGCGGCGUAAGCAAGGAAGAAGUGAUCCGGCUGAAGCAGAAGCGGCGGACGCUGAAGAACCGCGGCUACGCGCAGUCCUGCCGCUUCAAGCGCGUGCAGCAGCGCCACGUGCUCGAGGGCGAGAAGACGCAGCUCAUUCAGCAAGUGGAGCACCUCAAGCAGGAGAUCUCCAGGCUGAUGCGGGAGAGGGACGCGUACAAGGAGAAAUACGAGAAGCUCAUCGGCAACGGCUUCCGAGAAAACGGCUCGAGCAGCGACAACAACCCUUCUUCUCCGGAGUUUUUCAUGUCUUCAAGAAAAUUCCUGCACCUGUGAUAUGAAGUGUGACUCCUAAUCUUCACCCCUGCAGUCUAAGAUGGGUGGAAAACGUGAGUAGAGAAAUAAAGGACAGUCGCAGAAAUCAAUAUGCACGACUGGACGGCUGGUCAUUUGUAUUCUACAUGUGCUGCUUGGGAAAAGACGCAGAGACAGGAGUUAGAAAAGCAAAGGGGCGGAAAAGUUCCAGCCUGAGACGCCAUUGUUCUGCAUCCUCGACAAACCUACAGUAUGCAAAGGCUUCCUCAAGGAAACAAUCAAAUACUCUGCUGUCCCUGGCACCGGUUCUCUAUUGACUGCG